rnacentral:rRNA from 1 species
GACGAACGCUGGCGGCGUGCUUAACACAUGCAAGUCGAACGGAAAGGCCCCUUUGGGGGUACUCGAGUGGCGAACGGGUGAGUAACACGUGAGUAACCUGCCCUUGACUUCGGGAUAACUUCAGGAAACUGGGGCUAAUACCGGAUAGGAAUCCUUGCUGCAUGGUGGGGGUUGGAAAGCUUCGGCGGUUUUGGAUGGACUCGCGGCUUAUCAGCUUGUUGGUGGGGUAGUGGCUUACCAAGGCUUUGACGGGUAGCCGGCCUGAGAGGGCGACCGGCCACAUUGGGACUGGGAGAGGGCCCAGACCCCAACGGGGGGCAGCGGGGGGGAAUUUUACACAAUGGGCGGAAGCCUGAUGCAGAAACCCCGGGGGGGGGAUGAGGGCCUUGGGGUUGAAAACCGCUUUCAGCGGGGGGGAAGCUUGUGGGACGGGUCCCUGAAAAAGAAGCCCCGGCAAAUUCGGG